GGAGUCUGGGCCGUGUCUCAGUCCCAAUGUGGCCGUUCAACCUCUCAGUCCGGCUACUGAUCGUCGGCUUGGUGGGCCGUUACCUCACCAACUACCUAAUCAGACGCGAGCUCAUCUUUCAGCGAUAAAUCUUUGAUAUCAGAGUCAUGCGGCCCCGAUAUGUUAUGCGGUAUUAUCAGUCGUUUCCAACUGCUAUCUCCCUCUGAAAGGCAGAUUGCUCACGUGUUACUCACCCGUCCGCCACUAAGCUAAAAAAGCAAGCUCUCUUAGCUCCGUUCGACUUGCAUGUGUUAAGCGUGCCGCCAGCGUUCGUCCUGAGCCACUGAUCAAACUACU
rnacentral:rRNA from 1 species